GCCAGGCACGGUGAAUAGCGGCCAAGAUUUGGAGGCCACACACCUCGCCGCCGCAAAGCAUGCUGGGGAAAGCAGAACUCCUUCGCGUGCCACAAUCAUCAGCGGCGACUCCACCAAAAAUGCCGCCAUCGCCUACGCGAGGCACGGUGAAUAGCAGCGAAGAUCUGGAGGCCACACACCUCGCCGCCGUGAAACAUGCUGGGGAAGCAGAAAUCCUUCGCGUGCCUUAUCAUCAGCGGCGACUCCAUCACAAAACGCUGCCAGAAAACCCGCGAAGAGUAACUGGUAGCCCUCGAAGCACACCCAUUGCUGCAAUUCCAAAACAAGGUUGUGAAGGCAGGACUGCUUCGCGUGCCACAAAUCAGCGGCGAUUGCAUCAUAAAAUGCCACCAGAACCCCGCGAAGAGUCAUUGGAAGCGCGCGAACUCUGCUGCCGUUGCUGCUCCACUGCGAAGGUGCUGCCGAUCCUGGGUCCUCUGCCUGCCGUGCACGAAACUGUUGAGCCACCCUCCACUGUUCGCCAUCCCGAGCUCUCGCGGCCUCUCCCUGUCCCUGGUUUUUCCUUCUUUGUCUUUUCAUUUUUUGGACUUCGGAUCAGCAAUUCUUUCUACCAGUAAUUUUUUAGAAAGCACAGAUUUUGACAAUGAGGAAAUUGGAGAGCCGAUACUUCUAUCCCAUUACCAGAAGCCGUUGGUUCGCAGAGAAGAUGAUAGAGGUGUCUCCAUUCUCUUCGUUGGACCACGCAACAUCCUUUGCAAGGCAGUUGUGGUUCAAUCAGUCGCGUAUACAGUCAUGGCUGGAUGCCUUUUCUGGACAAAGUCACCUCUAUCGAGCCAUUCGUGAUGCGCCAGCUUCUCUGAUGAGGGAAUUGCUAUUUUGGGACCGAAAGUACCGGGCUAAAUUUGGGUUUGAGUUUAUAACAAGUACGGAAUUGUGGUUCACACAGAAAAUACUUGACGAGGUGAAGGUAAUACUUCCUAUUUUACC